ensembl:lncRNA
UGGGGUAGGCCGUCAUUGACCCAGUGUCGUUAGGGUUUGGUUGGGGUAGGCCGUCAUUGACCCAGUGUCGUUAGGGUUUGGCUGGGGUAGGCCGUCAUUGACCCAGUGUCGUUAGGGUUUGGUUGGGGUAGGCCGUCAUUGGCCCAGUGUCGUUAGGGUUUGGCUGGGGUAGGCCGUCAUUGACCCAGCGUCGUUAGGGUUUGGCUGGGGUAGGCCGUCAUUGACCCAGUGUCGUUAGGGUUUGGUUGGGGUAGGCCGUCAUUGACCCAGCGUCGUUAGGGUUUGGCUGGGGUAGGCCGUCAUUGGCCCAGCGUCGUUAGGGUUUGGUUGGGGUAGGCCGUCAUUGGCCCAGCGUCGUUAGGGUUUGGCUGGGGUAGGCCGUCAUUGGCCCAGCGUCGUUAGGGUUUGGCUGGGGUAGGCCGUCAUUGGCCCAGCGUCGUUAGGGUUUGGUUGGGGUAGGCCGUCAUUGUAAAU